rnacentral:rRNA from 1 species
AGUGAACGCUGGCGGUAGGCCUAACACAUGCAAGUCGAACGGCAGCACAGUAAGAGCUUGCUCUUACGGGUGGCGAGUGGCGGACGGGUGAGGAAUACAUCGGAAUCUACUUUUUCGUGGGGGAUAACGUAGGGAACCUUACGCUAAUACCGCAUACGACCUACGGGUGAAAGCAGGGGAUCUUCGGACCUUGCGCGAUUGAAUGAGCCGAUGUCGGAUUAGCUAGUUGGCGGGGUAAAGGCCCACCAAGGCGACGAUCCGUAGCUGGUCUGAGAGGAUGAUCAGCCACACUGGAACUGAGAAACGGUCCAGACUCCUAAGGGAGGCAGCAGUGGGGAAUAUUGGACAAUGGGCGCAAGCCUGAUCCAGCCAUACCGCGUGGGUGAAGAAGGCCUUCGGGUUGUAAAGCCCUUUUGUUGGGAAAGAAAAGCAGCAGGUUAAUACCCCGCUGUUCUGACGGUACCCAAAGAAUAAGCACCGGCUAACUUCGUG